UACAGAGGUCUCAAGCGUUGUUCGGAUUCAUUGGGCGUAAAGGGUGCGUAGGCGGCGCGGUAAGUCGGGUGUGAAAUCUUGGAGCUUAACUCCGAAACUGCAUUCGAUACUGCCGUGCUUGAGGACUGGAGAGGAGACUGGAAUUUACGGUGUAGCGGUGAAAUGCGCAGAUAUCGGGAGGAACACCAGUGGCGAAGGCGGCACUCUGGGCCGGUACUGACGCUGAGGAGCGAAAGCGUGGGGAGCGAACAGG
rnacentral:rRNA from 1 species